UAUCAGUCAUGCAUAGCAUAUCAAUAAGCGGAGGAAAAGACACUAACAAGGAUUCCCUUAGUAACGGCGAGUGAAGCGGGAAGAGCUCAAAUUUGAAAUCUUCAAGGUUUUACCUUGACGAAUUGUAGUUUAAAGAAGUGUUUUCUGUUGAAGUUUUGGUAAAAGUUCUUUGGAAUAGGACAUCAUAGAGGGUGAGAAUCCCGUAUUUGACCAUUACUUUCAGCUUUGUGAUACACUUUCAAAGAGUCGGAUUGUUUGGGAAUGCAGUCCAAAAUGGGUGGUAAAUUUCAUCUAAAGCUAAAUAUUGGCGAGAGACCGAUAGCGAACAAGUACCGUGAGGGAAAGAUGAAAAGAACUUUGAAAAGAGAGUUAAACAGUACGUGAAAUUGUCAAAAGGGAAGCGUUUGACACCAGUGUUGUCUUCUCGAAAAUCAAUUAAAAAGAGUUGGAUUUUGUGUUGUAUUGACUUUAUCAGCUUUCUUCACUCUUUUCCAGCUUUUUUUAAUGCACUUUUCGUUUAACAAGUCAACAUCAGUUUCUUUUGUUGUAAAAAGGUCAUUGGAAGGUGGCUUUCUCUUCGGAGAAAGUGUUUAUAGCCUUUGACUCAUGCAAUCGGAGAGACUGAGGUCUGCAGCGUAGAUCCUUCGGGGUUAGAUACAUUUGUGCUAAGUUAUAGCUUUUCAUAGACAACUUGUUGACUAUGUUUAGUCUUGUAGCUUACUCGCUUAUGCUAUUUUACCUACGCUUAGGAUGUUGAACUCUAUCACACACAG
rnacentral:rRNA from 1 species